rnacentral:rRNA from 1 species
UCGGGAAUAUUGGUAAUCUGGGAAACCGGGAACCAGCAACGCCGCGUGCGCGAUGAAGGCCUUCGGGUCGUAAAGCGCUUUUUGAAGGGAUGAGGAAGGACAGUACCUUCAGAAUAAGCCUCGGCUAACUACGUGCCAGCAGCCGCGGUAAAACGUAGGAGGCGAGCGUUAUCCGGAUUUACUGGGCGUAAAGCGUGUGUAGGCGGUUUGAUAAGUUGGAUGUGAAAGCUCCCGGCUCAACUGGGAGAGGUCGUUCAAAACUAUCAGACUCGAGAGUGGUAGAGGGAGGUGGAAUUCCGCGUGUAGUGGUGAAAUGCGUAGAUAUGCGGAGGAACACCAGUGGCGAAAGCGGCCUCCUGGCCCAUUUCUGACGCUCAGACACGAAAGCUAAGGUAGCAAACGG